rnacentral:rRNA from 1 species
UCCUCCCUCUUUCUUCGUGCUUAACACAUGCAAGUCGAACGGAAAGGCCCUGCUUUUGUGGGGUGCUCGAGUGGCGAACGGGUGAGUAACACGUGAGUAACCUGCCCUUGACUUUGGGAUAACUUCAGGAAACUGGGGCUAAUACCGGAUAGGAGCUCCUGCUGCAUGGUGGGGGUUGGAAAGUUUCGGCGGUUGGGGAUGGACUCGCGGCUUAUCAGCUUGUUGGUGGGGUAGUGGCUUACCAAGGCUUUGACGGGUAGCCGGCCUGAGAGGGUGACCGGCCACAUUGGGACUGAGCUACGGCCCAGACUCCUACGGGAGGCAGCAGUGGGGAAUAUUGCACAAUGGGCGGAAGCCUGAUGCAGCAACGCCGCGUGCGGGAUGACGGCCUUCGGGUUGUAAACCGCUUUCGCCUGUGACGAAGCGUGAGUGACGGUAAUGGGUAAAGAAGCACCGGCUAACUACGUG